rnacentral:rRNA from 1 species
GAUGAACGCUGGCGGCGUGCUUAACACAUGCAAGUCGAACGGGAAACCUUUUAUUGAAGCUUCGGCAGAUUUAACUGGUUUUUAGUGGCGGACGGGUGAGUAACGCGUGGGUAACCUGCCCUGUACAGGGGGAUAACAGUCAGAAAUGACUGCUAAUACCGCAUAAGCGCACAGGACCGCAUGGUCCGGUGUGAAAAACUCCGGUGGUAUAAGAUGGACCCGCGUUGGAUUAGCUAGUUGGCAGGGUAACGGCCUACCAAGGCGACGAUCCAUAGCCGGCCUGAGAGGGUGAACGGCCACAUUGGGACUGAGACACGGCCCAGACUCCUACGGGAGGCAGCAGUGGGGAAUAUUGCACAAUGGGGGAAACCCUGAUGCAGCGACGCCGCGUGAAGGAAGAAGUAUCUCGGUAUGUAAACUUCUAUCAGCAGGGAAGAAAAUGACGG